rnacentral:rRNA from 1 species
AUAAAUUCCGUCCAAGGCUAAAUACGGGUGAGAGACCGAUAACAAAAAUAUACUGUGAGGGAAAUAUGAAAAGGACUUUAAAAAGAGAGUAAAAGAGUGAUUGAAAUUGUCCAGAGGGAAGCGGAUGGGGGUCGGCGAUGCGCACCGGUUGGAUGUGGAAUGGCAACGAGUUGGUCUAUCGAUCGACUUGCGGCGUGGAUUGACGCGAUUCAGGGUGGUAGCCCAAGCUCGGGCUGUAGUCAUGCCUAUGGAGACGUCGUCGCUGCGUGCCUCCGGGCACCUGCACGCUCAGGGCAUCGGCCCGUGGGCCCCCCAUUUGGCCUGUCUUGAAACACGGACCAAGGAUUCUUGCAUGUGUGUGAGUCAACGGACCAGUAAACUCGUAAGACGCAAGGAAACUGAACUACGGGAUCCCCCUUCGCGAGGUACACCGUUGACCAACCUCGAUCUUAUGAGGAGGGUUCGAGUGAAAGCAUGCCUGUCAAGACCUGAAAUAUGGUGAACUAUGCCUAAGCAGGGCAAAGCCAAAGGAAACUCUGGUGGAGACCCGUAGCGAUAGUGAUGUGCAAAUCGUUCAUCUGACCUAGGUAUAGGGGCGAAAGACUAAUCGAACCAUCUAGUAGUUGGUUCCCUCCGAAGUUUCCCUCAAGGUAGUUGGAGCCCGCGGGCAAGUUUUAUAGGUAAAGCCAAUGAUUAGAGGCAUUGGGGGCACAACGCCCUCGACCUAUUCUCAAACUUUAAAUAGGUAGAACGACAUGACUGCUCCAUUAAGUCACGUCAUGGAAUCAAGAGCUCCAAGUGGGCCAUUUUUGGUAAGUAGAAUUGGCGAUGCGGGAUGAACUGGAAGUCGGGUUACGAUGCCCAACUGCACACUAACCUAACCUACAAAGGGUAUUGGUCGAUUAAGACAGUAGGACGAUGGUCAUGGAAGUCGAAAUCCGCUAAGGAGUGUGUAACAACUCACCUGCUGAAUCAACUAGCCUCGAAAAUGGAUGGUGUUGAAGCGUGCGACCUAUACCCGGCCAUCGAGGCAAGGGCCAGGCCGCAAUGAGUAGGAAGGUGCGGCAGUCGCCGCAAAACUUGGAACACGAGCCCAAGCGGAGCGGCCGUCGGUCCGGAUCUUGGUGGUAGUAGCAAAUAUUCAAAUGAGAACUUUGAAAGUCGAAGAGGGGAAAGUUUCCAUGUGGACGACACUUGCACAUGGGUUAGUCGAUCCUAAGAGAUGAGGAAAGCCCGUACGACAGUGCGCAACGUGUGAGCUUCGAAAGGGAAUCGGGUUAACAUUCCUGAACCGAGAUGUGAUAGUUGACGACAACGUUAAGGAGUCUGGAGACAUCGUUGAGGGCCUCAGGAAGAGUUAUAUUUUCUGUUAACAACCCGGCCAUCCUAGAAACGGCUUAGCCAAAUGUAAGGUGUCGCGUGGUGUCUAGUGCGCCCUCGGCGACCCUUGAAAAUUCAAAGGACCGAGUGCCGCCCACGCCCGGUUGUACUCAUAACCGCAUCAGGUCUCCAAGGUGAACAACCUCUGGUCAAUGGAACAAUGUAGGCAAGGAAAGUCGGAAAAAUGGAUUCAUAACCUCAAGAAAAAAGAGUGGUUUUAAGGGCUAGGUACGAGGGUCCCAAUCCCGAACCCGUCAGUUGUCGGUGGACUGCUCGAGCUGCUCUCGCGGCGAGAGCGGGUCACCGCGUGCCGGUUGUGGGACGAACUGGGAAUGGCUCCUUCGGGGGCUUUCCCUGAGUGUCGAACAGUCGACUCAGAAUUGGUACAAACAAGGGGAAUCUGAUUGUUUAAUUAAAACAAAGUAUUGCAAUGGUCCCUACAGAUGCUCACGCAAUGUGAUUUCUGCCCAGUGCUCUGAAUGUCAAAGUGAAGAAAUUCAACCAAGCACGAGUAAACGACGGGAGUAACUAUGACUCUCUUAAGGUAGCCAAAUGGCUUGUCAUCUAAUUAGGGAUGCGCAUGAAUGGAUUAACGAGAUUCCCACUGUCCCUAUCUACUAUCCAGUGAAACCACAGCCAAGGGAACGGGCUUGGCAGAAUCAACGAGGAAAGAAGACCCUGUUGAGCUGGACUCUAGUACGACUUUGUGAAAUGACUUGAGAGGUGUAGAAUAAGUGGGAGUCAGAAACGGUGAAAGUGAAAUACCACUACUUUUAACGUUAUUUUACUUAUUUUGUGAAUCAAAGGCAGGGAGCAUCCCCUCCUUUUGGACCUAAGGCACGCCCAACGUGCUAAUCCGAGCGGAAGACAUUGUUAGGUGGGGAGCUUGGCUGGAGUGACACAUCUAUUAAAAGAUAACACAAGUGUCCUAAGAUGAGCUCAACAAGAACAAAAAUCUCAUGUGGAACAAAAGAGUAAAAACUCGUUUGAUUCUGAUUUCCAAUACGAAUACGAACCGUGAAAGCGUGACCUAUCGAUCCUUUAGACCUUCGGAAUUUGAAGCUAGAGGUGUCAUAAAAGUUACCACAGGGAUAACUGGCUAGUGGCAGCCAAGCAUUCAUAGCGACGUUGCUUUUUUAUCCUUCGAUGUCGGCUCUUUCUAUCAUUGUGAAGUAGAAUUCACAAAGUGUUGGAUUGUUCACCCACCAAUAGGAAACGUGAGCUGGGUUUAGAUCGUCAUGAGAUAGGUUAGUUUUACCUUACUGAUGACAAUGUCGCAAUAUUAAUUCAACCUAGUAUGAGAGGAACCAUUGAUUCGCACAAUUGGUCAUUGAGCUUGGUUGAAAAGCCAAUGGCGCAAAGCUAUCGUGCGUUGGAUUAUGACUGAAUGCCUCUAAGUCAGAAUUCGGGCUAGAAGUGACGCGUACGCCCGCCACCCGAUUGGCGACCUUCAGUAGGGGAMAUCCGGCCCCUAGAGGCAAGUAUCCUUAGUCAAGCCCUAGUGGUGGACGAGCCGUAUGGGCCGCCUUGAAGUAUCAUUCCGAUUGAGUGGU